rnacentral:rRNA from 1 species
UACGAGGGGUGCAAACGUUAUUCGGAUUUACUGGGUGUAAAGGGUGUGUAGACGGUUUGUUAAGUUUGUUGUUAAAUCUUCUGGCCUAACUGGAAGCUUGCGAUGAAAACUGGCAGACUUGAGGGUGAAAGAGAGAAGUGGAAUUCUCGGAGUAGCGGUAAAAUGCGUAGAUCUCGAGAGGAACACCGAUGGCGAAAGCAGCUUCUUGGUUCAUUCCUGACGUUGAAACACGAAAGCGUGGGGAGCAAACAGG